rnacentral:tRNA from 1 species
GGUCUUUAUGGUGUAACGGGUUAGCACUUCAGACUCUGACUCUGACAAUCUGAGUUCAAAUCUCAGUAAGACCU